rnacentral:rRNA from 1 species
UAAAGAGCUCGUAGGCGGUUUGUCGCGUCUGGUGUGAAAACAUCAGGCUCAACCUGGGGCGUGCAUCGGGUACGGGCAGACUAGAGUGCGGUAGGGGAGACUGGAAUUCCUGGUGUAGCGGUGGAAUGCGCAGAUAUCAGGAGGAACACCGAUGGCGAAGGCAGGUCUCUGGGCCGCAACUGACGCUGAGGAGCGAAAGCAUGGGGAGCGAACAGGAUUAGAUACCCUGGUAGUCCAUGCCGUAAACGUUGGGCACUAGGUGUGGGGCUCAUUCCACGAGUUCCGUGCCGCAGCUAACGCAUUAAGUGCCCCGCCUGGGGAGUACGGCCGCAAGGCUAAAACUCAAAGGAAUUGACGGGGGCCCGCACAAGCGGCGGAGCAUGCGGAUUAAUUCGAUGCAACGCGAAGAACCUUACCAAGGCUUGACAUGCACCGGACGCUGCCAGAGAUGGUGGUUCCGCAAGGUCGGUGCACAGGUGGUGCAUGGUUGUCGUCAGCUCGUGUCGUGAGAUGUUGGGUUAAGUCCCGCAACGAGCGCAACCCUUGUCCUAUGUUGCCAGCGGGUCAUGCCGGGGACUCAUGGGAGACUGCCGGGGUCAACUCGGAGGAAGGCGGGGAUGACGUCAAAUCAUCAUGCCCCUUAUGUCUUGGGCUUCACGCAUGCUACAAUGGCCGGUACAGAGGGCUGCGAUACCGUAAGGUGGAGCGAAUCCCAAAAAGCCGGUCUCAGUUCGGAUUGGGGUCUGCAACUCGACCCCAUGAAGUCGGAGUCGCUAGUAAUCGCAGAUCAGCAACGCUGCGGUGAAUACGUUCCCGGGCCUUGUACACACCGCCCGUCAAGUCACGAAAGUUGGUAACACCCGAAGCUCACGGCCCAACCGGUUCGUCCGGAGGGAGUGGUCGAAGGUGGGACUGGCGAUU